rnacentral:rRNA from 1 species
AACGAACGCUGGCGGCAUGCCUAACACAUGCAAGUCGAACGAGACCUUCGGGUCUAGUGGCGCACGGGUGCGUAACGCGUGGGAACCUGCCUUUAGGUUCGGAAUAACUCAGAGAAAUUUGAGCUAAUACCGGAUGAUGUCUUCGGCCCAAAGAUUUAUCGCCUUUAGAUGGGCCCGCGUUGGAUUAGCUAGUUGGUGGGGUAAAGGCCUACCAAGGCGACGAUCCAUAGCUGGUCUGAGAGGAUGAUCAGCCACACUGGGACUGAGACACGGCCCAGACUCCUACGGGAGGCAGCAGUGGGGAAUAUUGGACAAUGGGCGAAAGCCUGAUCCAGCAAUGCCGCGUGAGUGAUGAAGGCCUUAGGGUUGUAAAGCUCUUUUACCCGAGAUGAUAAUGACAGUAUCGGGAGAAUAAGCUCCGGCUAACUCCGUG